rnacentral:rRNA from 1 species
ACGAACGCUGGCGGCGUGCCUAAUACAUGCAAGUCGAACGGUCUUUCUAUGGAAGCUUGCUUCUACUGAGAAGAUAGUGGCGAACGGGUGAGUAACACGUGGGUAACCUGCCCAUAAGAGGGGGGAUAACAUCCGGAAACGGGUGCUAAUACCGCAUAGUUUUCUUGAUUGCAUGAUUGAGAAAGGAAAGACGGCCUUUGUGCUGUCGCUUAUGGAUGGACCCGCGGCGUAUUAGUUAGUUGGUGAGGUAACGGCUCACCAAGACGAUGAUACGUAGCCGACCUGAGAGGGUGAUCGGCCACAUUGGGACUGAGACACGGCCCAAACUCCUACGGGAGGCAGCAGUAGGGAAUCUUCCGCAAUGGACGAAAGUCUGACGGAGCAACGCCGCGUGAGUGAAGAAAAGGUUUUCGGAUCGUAAAACUCUGUUGUCAGAGAAGAACAAGUUGGAGAGUAACUGCUCCAGCCUUGACGGUAUCUGACCAGAAAGCCACGGCUAACUACGUGCCAGCCGCAGC